rnacentral:rRNA from 1 species
CUUGAACGCUGGCGGCAGGCCUAACACAUGCAAGUCGAGCGGUAACACAGAGGAGCUUGCUCCUUGGGUGACGAGCGGCGGACGGGUGAGUAAUGCCUGGGGAUCUGCCCGAUAGAGGGGGAUAACUACGGGAAACUGUAGCUAAUACCGCAUAAGGUCUACGGACCAAAGUGGGGGCUACUCGGACCUCAUUCUAUCGGAUGAACCCAGGUGGGAUUAGCUAGUUGGUGAGGUAAUGGCUCACCAAGGCGACGAUCUCUAACUGGUUUGAGAGAAUGACCAGUCACACUGGAACUGAGACACGUUCCAGACUCCUACGGGAGGCAGCAGUGGGGAAUAUUGCACAAUGGGCGCAAGCCUGAUGCAGCCAUGCCGCGUGUGUGAAGAAGGCCUUCGGGUUGUAAGGCACUUUCAGCGGGGAGGAAGGGCUACUAGUUAAUACCUAGUGGCAUUGACGUUACUCGGAGAAGAAGCCCCGGCUAACUUCGUGCCAGCCGCCGCGGUAACAC